rnacentral:rRNA from 1 species
CACGUAGGGGGCGAGCGUUGUCCGGAUUCAUUGGCGUAAAGGGCGCGCAGGCGGCCCGGAAAGUCGGAUGUGAAAACUCGAGGCUCAACCUCGAGCGUGCACCCGAUACUGCCGGGCUUGAGGCAGGUGAGGGGAGAUCGGAAUUCCUGGUGUAGCGGUGAAAUGCGCAGAUAUCAGGAGGAACACCGGUGGCGAAGGCGGAUCUCUGGGCCUGUCCUGACGCUGAGGCGCGAAAGCUAGGGGGAGCGAACAGG